UACGUAGGGUGCGAGCGUUAAUCGGAAUUACUGGGCGUAAAGCGUGCGCAGGCGGUGAUGUAAGACAGGUGUGAAAUCCCCGGGCUUAACCUGGGAACUGCAUUUGUGACUGUAUCGCUGGAGUGCGGCAGAGGGGGAUGGAAUUCCGCGUGUAGCAGUGAAAUGCGUAGAUAUGCGGAGGAACACCGAUGGCGAAGGCAAUCCCCUGGGCCUGCACUGACGCUCAUGCACGAAAGCGUGGGGAGCAAACAGG
rnacentral:rRNA from 1 species